UACGAAGGGGGCUAGCGUUGUUCGGAAUUACUGGGCGUAAAGGGCGCGUAGGCGGUGUGUCAAGUCAGGCGUGAAAGCCCCGGGCUCAACCUGGGAACCGCGCUUGAGACUGGCACGCUAGAGUUCGGGAGAGGAUGGUGGAAUUCCCAGUGUAGAGGUGAAAUUCGUAGAUAUUCGCAAGAACACCAGUGGCGAAGGCGGCUCACUGGCCCGAUACUGACGCUGAGGCACGAAAGCGUGGGGAGCAAACAGG
rnacentral:rRNA from 1 species